rnacentral:rRNA from 1 species
AGUCUGGGAUUCCUGAAUGGGGAAACCCACUUACAUAAGUAAGUAUCCUGUUGUGAAUACAUAGCAACAGGAGGCAAACCGGGGGAACUGAAACAUCUAAGUACCCCGAGGAAGAGAAAUCAACCGAGAUUCCGAAAGUAGCGGCGAGCGAAAUUGGAUUAGCCCUUAAGCUUUUAAUGAGACAGAUGAAGGCUCUGGAAAGUGCCGCAAUAAAGGGUGAUAGCCCCGUAAUCGACAUCUCAUCAUCAGUGAAAACGAGUAGGGCGGGACACGUGAUAUCCUGUCUGAAUAUGGGGGGACCAUCCUCCAAGGCUAAAUACUACUGACUGACCGAUAGUGAACCAGUACCGUGAGGGAAAGGCGAAAAGAACCCCUGUGAGGGGAGUGAAAUAGAACCUGAAACCGUGUACGUACAAGCAGUAGGAGCACCUUCGUGGUGUGACUGCGUACCUUUUGUAUAAUGGGUCAGCGACUUAAUUUUAGUAGCAAGGUUAACCGUUUAGGGGAGCCGUAGGGAAACCGAGUCUUAACUGGGCGUACAGUUGCUAGGAUUAGACCCGAAACCAGGUGAUCUAGCCAUGGGCAGGUUGAAGGUUGAGUAACAUCAACUGGAGGACCGAACCGACUAAUGUUGAAAAAUUAGCGGAUGACUUGUGGCUAGGGGUGAAAGGCCAAUCAAACCUGGAGAUAGCUGGUUCUCCCCGAAAGCUAUUUAGGUAGCGCCUCGGACGAAUACUACUGGGGGUAGAGCACUGUUAAGGCUAGGGGGUCAUCCCGACUUACCAACCCUUUGCAAACUCCGAAUACCAGUAAGUACUAUCCGGGAGACACACGGCGGGUGCUAACGUCCGUCGUGGAGAGGGAAACAACCCAGACCGCCAGCUAAGGUCCCAAAGUAUAGCUAAGUGGGAAACGAUGUGGGAAGGCUCAGACAGCCAGGAUGUUGGCUUAGAAGCAGCCAUCAUUUAAAGAAAGCGUAAUAGCUCACUGGUCGAGUCGGCCUGCGCGGAAGAUGUAACGGGGCUAAGCUAUACACCGAAGCUGCGGCUACGUACCUUAGGGUAUGUGGGGUAGGGGAGCGUUCUGUAAGCCGUUGAAGGUGGUCUGUAAGGGCUGCUGGAGGUAUCAGAAGUGCGAAUGCUGACAUGAGUAACGAUAAAGGGAGUGAAAAACUCCCUCGCCGGAAGACCAAGGGUUCCUGUCCAACGUUAAUCGGGGCAGGGUAAGUCGACUCCUAAGGCGAGGCCGAAAGGCGUAGUCGAUGGGAAACGG